rnacentral:rRNA from 1 species
CAGUCGCCGCGGUAAUACAGAGGGUGCGAGCGUUAAUCGGAUUUACUGGGCGUAAAGCGUGCGUAGGCGGCUUUUUAAGUCGGAUGUGAAAUCCCCGAGCUUAACUUGGGAAUUGCAUUCGAUACUGGUUAGCUAGAGUGUGGGAGAGGAUGGUAGAAUUCCAGGUGUAGCGGUGAAAUGCGUAGAGAUCUGGAGGAAUACCGAUGGCGAAGGCAGCCAUCUGGCCUAACACUGACGCUGAGGUACGAAAGCAUGGGGAGCAAACAGGAUUAGAGACCCGCGUAGUCCCUGUCUCUUAUAC